rnacentral:rRNA from 1 species
UACGUAGGGUCCGAGCGUUGUCCGGAGUUACUGGGCGUAAAGCGCGCGCAGGUGGUCCAUUAAGCCCGGCGUGAAAGCCCCCGGCUCAACCGGGGAGGGUGGCUGGAAACUGUCGUUCUUGAGGGCGAGAGAGGAGGGUGGAAUUCCUGGUGUAGCGGUGAAAUGCGUAGAUAUCGGGAGGAACACCAGUGGCGAAGGCGACUACCUGGCCUGUUCUUGACGCUGAGGCGCGAAAGCUGGGGGAGCAAACGGG